rnacentral:rRNA from 1 species
UACGGAGGAUCCAAGCGUUAUCCGGAUUUAUUGGGUUUAAAGGGUGCGUAGGCGGCCUAUUAAGUCAGGGGUGAAAGACGGUAGCUUAACUAUCGCAGUGCCUUUGAUACUGAUGGGCUUGAAUACACUUGAGGUAGGCGGAAUGUGACAAGUAGCGGUGAAAUGCAUAGAUAUGUCACAGAACACCAAUUGCGAAGGCAGCUUACUAAAGUGAGAUUGACGCUGAGGCACGAAAGCGUGGGGAUCAAACAGG